AGUUAACUUACAUGAAGCUCAGGUUCCUUACCUGUCUGUAAAAUGGGAACAUUGAACUAGGUGAUCUUUAAGAUCCCUUCCGGCUCUAAAAUUGUUUGACAUUAUCUUGGUGGUCAGUAACUGUGAGAAACACAUUCCUGAGGAAAAUUUGCAGCUAUAACUGACUUCAGGACAGCAUGUUUAGGGAGGAGAAUGUAAGCUCCCUGAGGGUGCACUAGGCCUUCCAAUGAGGGGAAUGAGCAACAAUACCCCUCAGUUAAAUCGCAGCUUAUCACAAGGCACUCAGUUACCGAGCCACGUCACGCCAACAACAGGGGUACCAACAAUGUCACUUCACACGCCUCCAUCUCCAAGCAGGGGUAUUUUGCCUAUGAAUCCUAGGAAUAUGAUGAACCACUCCCAGGUUGGUCAGGGCAUUGGAAUUCCUAGCAGGACAAAUAGCAUGAGCAGUUCAGGGUUAGGUAGCCCCAACAGAAGCUCGCCAAGCAUAAUAUGUAUGCCAAAGCAGCAGCCUUCUCGACAGCCUUUUACUGUGAACAGUAUGUCUGGAUUUGGAAUGAACAGGAAUCAGGCAUUUGGAAUGAAUAACUCCUUAUCAAGUAACAUUUUUAAUGGAACAGAUGGAAGUGAAAAUGUGACAGGAUUGGAC
rnacentral:sRNA from 1 species